CCUACGGGGUGCAGCAGUGAGGAAUAUUGGUCAAUGGGCGCAAGCCUGAACCAGCCAAGUCGCGUGAGGGAUGACGGUCCUAUGGAUUGUAAACCUCUUUUGUCGGGGAGCAAGGCCCGCCACGUGUGGCGGGAAGGAGAGUACCCGAAGAAAAAGCAUCGGCUAACUCCGUGCCAGCAGCCGCGGUAAUACGGAGGAUGCGAGCGUUAUCCGGAUUUAUUGGGUUUAAAGGGUGCGUAGGCGGAAGGUUAAGUCAGCGGUCAAAUGUCGGUGCUCAACACCGGCCUGCCGUUGAAACUGGUCGUCUUGAGUGAGCGAGAAGUAUGCGGAAUGCGUGGUGUAGCGGUGAAAUGCAUAGAGAUCACGCAGAACUCCGAUUGCGAAGGCAGCAUACCGGCGCUCAACUGACGCUGAGGCACGAAAGCGUGGGGAUCGAACAGGAUUAGAUACCCGAGUAGUC
rnacentral:rRNA from 1 species